rnacentral:rRNA from 1 species
GACGAACGCUGGCGGCGUGCUUAACACAUGCAAGUCGAACGGAAAGGCCCUGCUUUUGUGGGGUGCUCGAGUGGCGAACGGGUGAGUAACACGUGAGUAACCUGCCCUUGACUUUGGGAUAACUUCAGGAAACUGGGGCUAAUACCGGAUAGGAGCUCCUGCUGCAUGGUGGGGGUUGGAAAGUUUCGGCGGUUGGGGAUGGACUCGCGGCUUAUCAGCUUGUUGGUGGGGUAGUGGCUUACCAAGGCUUUGACGGGUAGCCGGCCUGAGAGGGUGACCGGCCACAUUGGGACUGAGAUACGGCCCAGAAUCCUACGGGAGGCAGCAGUGGGGAAUAUUGCACAAUGGGCGGAAGCCUGAUACAGCAACGCCGCGUGCGGGAUGACGGCCUUCGGGUUGUAAACCGCUUUCGCCUGUGACGAAGCGUGAGUGACGGUAAUGGGUAAAGAAGCACCGGCUAACUACGUG